rnacentral:tRNA from 1 species
GGGCGAUUAGCUCAGUUGGUAGAGCACCUGCCUUACACGCAGGGCGUCGCAGGUUCGAGUCCUACAUCGCCCACCA